UGGUGGCGAGUGGCGAACGGGUGAGUAAUAUAUCGGAACGUGCCCUGGAGUGGGGGAUAACUAGUCGAAAGACUAGCUAAUACCGCAUACGAUCUACGGAUGAAAGUGGGGGAUCGCAAGACCUCAUGCUCGUGGAGCGGCCGAUAUCUGAUUAGCUAGUUGGUGGGGUAAAAGCCUACCAAGGCAUCGAUCAGUAGCUGGUCUGAGAGGACGACCAGCCACACUGGGACUGAGACACGGCCCAGACUCCUACGGGAGGCAGCAGUGGGGAAUUUUGGACAAUGGGGGCAACCCUGAUCCAGCAAUGCCGCGUGAGUGAAGAAGGCCUUCGGGUUGUAAAGCUCUUUUGUCAGGGAAGAAACGGUNNGGGCUAAUANCCUGGGCUAAUGACGGUACCUGAAGAAUAAGCACCGGCUAACUACGUGCCAGCAGCCGCGGUAAUACGUAGGGUGCAAGCGUUAAUCGGAAUUACUGGGCGUAAAGCGUGCGCAGGCGGUUGUGCAAGACAGAUGUGAAAUCCCCGGGCUUAACCUGGGAAUUGCAUUUGUGACUGCACGGCUAGAGUGUGUCAGAGGGGGGUAGAAUUCCACGUGUAGCAGUGA
rnacentral:rRNA from 1 species